rnacentral:rRNA from 1 species
AGAGACCCAAGUUGACAGACAAUCGGCGUAAAGAGUGGUUAAGUACUAAUUUUGCUAAAGCCAAACACCUUCAAAGCUGUUAUACGCACCCGAAGGUUAGAAGCCCAAUCACGAAAGUGGCUUUAAACUAACUGAACCCACGAAAGCUAGGGCACAAACUGGGAUUAGAUACCCCACUAUGCCUAGCCCUAAACAUUGAUAAUAACUUACAACUAUUAUCCGCCUGGGAACUACGAGCACCA